AUUGAACGCUGGCGGCAUGCCUUACACAUGCAAGUCGAACGGUAACGCGGGGCAACCUGGCGACGAGUGGCGAACGGGUGAGUAAUGCAUCGGAACGUGCCCAGUAGUGGGGGAUAGCCCGGCGAAAGCCGGAUUAAUACCGCAUACGACCUACGGGUGAAAGCGGGGGACCGCAAGGCCUCGCGCUAUUGGAGCGGCCGAUGUCAGAUUAGGUUGUUGGUGGGGGAAAGGCCUACCAAGCCUACGAUCUGUAGCUGGUCUGAGAGGACGACCAGCAACACUGGGACUGAGACACGGCCCGGACUCCUACGGGAGGCAGCAGUGGGGAAUUUUGGACAAUGGGGGCAACCCUGAUCCAGCCAUGCCGCGUGCGGGAAGAAGGCCUUCGGGUUGUAAACCGCUUUUGUCGGGGAAGAAAUCUUUCGGGCUAAUACCUCGGAAGGAUGACGGUACCCGAAGAAUAAGCACCGGCUAACUACGUGCCAGCCGCCGCCGUAAAAC
rnacentral:rRNA from 1 species